CGAAAGCUUGCUUCUAUGACGUUAGCGGCGGACGGGUGAGUAACACGUGGGCAACCUGCCUGUAAGACUGGGAUAACUUCGGGAAACCGAAGCUAAUACCGGAUAGGAUCUUCUCCUUCAUGGGAGAUGAUUGAAAGAUGGUUUCGGCUAUCACUUACAGAUGGGCCCGCGGUGCAUUAGCUAGUUGGUGAGGUAACGGCUCACCAAGGCAACGAUGCAUAGCCGACCUGAGAGGGUGAUCGGCCACACUGGGACUGAGACACGGCCCAGACUCCUACGGGAGGCAGCAGUAGGGAAUCUUCCGCAAUGGACGAAAGUCUGACGGAGCAACGCCGCGUGAGUGAUGAAGGCUUUCGGGUCGUAAAACUCUGUUGUUAGGGAAGAACAAGUACGAGAGUAACUGCUCGUACCUUGACGGUACCUAACCAGAAAGCCACGGCUAACUACGUGCCAGCAGCCGCGGUAAUACGUAGGUGGCAAGCGUUAUCCGGAAUUAUUGGGCGUAAAGCGCGCGCAGGCGGUUUCUUAAGUCUGAUGUGAAAGCCCACGGCUCAACCGUGGAGGGUCAUUGGAAACUGGGGAACUUGAGUGCAGAAGAGAAAAGCGGAAUUCGUGUAGCGGUGAAAUGCGUAGAGAUGUGGAGGAAC
rnacentral:rRNA from 2 species